UAUAGGAAGUGUUCCCGGUUCCGGCUGACCUAAUUUAUGCAGCCUAAUAAUCCUUUAACGGAUUUGAAAAUAUAAAUUGGUAAUGUGUUAUGUGUAUGCCAGGUUAAAGAAAUGCGUUUUUAGUCUAGAUUUAAACUGACAGAGUGUGUCUGCUUCCCGAACAAUGCUAGGAAGAUUGUUCCAGAGUUUAGGUGCCAAAUAGGAGAAGGAUCUACCUGCGGUUGAUUUUGAUAUUCUAGGUAUUAUCAGCUGGCCUGAAUUCUGAGAUCGCAAUAGACGUGAAGGACUAUAAUGAAUUAGGAGCUCGCUCAGGUACUGGGGAGCUAAACCAUUUAGUGCUUUGUAAGUAAUUAGCAAGAUUUUAAAAUCUAUACGAUGUUUAACAGGAAGCCAAUGCAGUGUUGACAGAACUGGGCUAAUAUGGUCAUACUUCCUAGUUCUAGUAAGAACUCUAGCUGCUGCAUUUUGUACGAGCUGUAGUUUAUUUAUCAGGCGAGCAGAACAACCACCCAGUAGAGCGUUACAGUAAUCUAGCCUUGAGUUCAUGCGUUCAUGACCUCAAGGCUAGAUUACUGUAACGCUCUACUGGGUGGUUGUUCUGCUCGCCUGAUAAAUAAACUACAGCUCGUACAAAAUGCAGCAGCUAGAGUUCUUACUAGAACUAGGAAGUAUGACCAUAUUAGCCCAGUUCUGUCAACACUGCAUUGGC